rnacentral:lncRNA from 1 species
GUUGUCACUAGGUGGCAGAUUCGUCACAUGAGAUUCUGGUGCAACUAUUGAGAAUUAAACUGGAUCUGAUUGAUAAGGAACUAAGGACGAUUUUGGAUUGGAGAAAGGAAGUCCUAAGAAUUAAAACAGUGUAAGUGGUAAAAGUUUUGUGAAGAAAUUAUUCGAUGGAAGAAAUUACGUGGGAGAAAGAGAAUCGGAUGAGAGAGAUUUACCCGAGGCUAUUGUAUGAGUAUGGUUGAUUUAGUUGGUUGCUGGAAUUUCGGGGACGAAAUUCUAUAAGGAGGGAAGAUUGUCACAGCCCGUCCCGGAAUUUU